UCUCCGUUGGUGAACCAGCGGAGGGAUCAUUAUAGAGUUUUUAACUCCCAAACCCAUGUGAACCUACUAUUUUGUUUCCUCGGCGGGCGGCCCCAGUGGGGGCCCGCGGCCCUAUGGUGCCCGCCGGAGCUACAAAACUCUAGCCGUCUUAGUAACCUUCUGAGGAACAAGCAAAUAAAGUUAAAACUUUCAGCAACGGAUCUCUUGGUUCUGGCAUCGAUGAAGAACGCAGC
rnacentral:misc_RNA from 1 species